rnacentral:tRNA from 1 species
CGCGGGAUGGAGCAGUCUGGUAGCUCGUCGGGCUCAUAACCCGAAGGUCGUCGGUGGCUCAUAACCCGAAGGUCGUCGGUUCAAAUCCGGCUCCCGCAACCA